UUGAGAUCAAAUACACCUCAAUGAUGUGGAUAAGCUCAUCAUGGAAGACAAGGAAUUUAUGGUUACAAAAUCAAAUUUAUUAAUUUAACAAUGCAAUAGGGAAAAUAAAAAUAAACGUCGAGAAUUUUGGGUAACAAAUUGUUCGAGAAGCUCAGAGAGAUUGAACAGCUUAAUCAGUCAAGAAUUUUCUGAAGCAGAACUGGCAUAUUUGGCUUUAUAUCAAUAUCACCGCCUACAAAAACUGGAACUGUAAUUAAUAGAUUAAUACAUAAAUAACUUAUUGGCUCAUAUCAAGAAAUUCAACCAUUUUUAUCUGUAUGCUUCAUGGAUUAUGCAUCUCAGAAGUGCGGAUAAUUAAUUAAUCAUAGCCAAACAAUUUUAAAAAACCCAACAUUCAAUUUUUUAGGGGUCAGAUUAUAGUUUACAGAAAAAGCAAAAGAUGUGGAGAGGUAGCAAAAUAUAAAAUUCCAAUUCGGAGGAUAUUUAGACGUUGAUUUGACACAAAUUAGAAGUGGAAAAGAUGUACAAAGAGACAAAUCUGCAACACUAAACGGAGUCAUUCGAGCACGAGCUUUGGGGCUUCAAUUUCACUUGUAAAAUCUCAGAAGAGCCCGGGAGGCUACGUGCAAAUUACAAUUUGUACGUGUAAAUUUAAACUACAGAGAAGCACGCAAAAUCACAUAAUUGGAUGAAAUUUUUGAGAUUAUUGCUGAAGAGACGGGAAUUCAAGGCUUGAUGAAGAUGGGUUUGGGGGCUGAGAUUUUGUGAAGGGAUUUCAGAAACCCUGAAAAGCCCGGCUCAUAUGAAUUCAAGGGGCACAUCCAAUUGAAAUUUUGAAAAAUUUUUAUGGAUUUUUUUAAGUGAUGAUUUUUGCGGAUCUUUUAUAGAUCUGUUAUUGAUUUUCAUUUUAAAAUUUUUGUAGAUUUUUGAAGAUUUUCAUUUGAAAUAAAAUUUACGUGAAUUUUAUGNAUAAAUAACUUAUUGGCUCAUAUCAAGAAAUUCAACCAUUUUUAUCUGUAUGCUUCAUGGAUUAUGCACCUCAGAAGUGCGGAUAAUUAAUUAAUCAUAGCCAAACAAAACCCAACAUUCAAUUUUUUAGGGGUUAGAUUAUAGUUGACAGAAAAAGCAAAAGAUGUGGAUAGGCAGCAAAAUAUAAAAUUCCAAUUCGGAGGAUAUUUAGACGUUGAUUUGACACAAAUUAGAAGUGGAAAAGAUGUACAAAGAGACAAAUCUGCAACACUAAACGGCGUCAUUCGAGCACGAGCUUUGGGGCUUCAAUUUCACUUGUAAAAUCUCAGAAGAGCCCGGGAGGCUACGUGCAAAUUACAAUUUGUACGUGUAAAAUUAAGCCACAGAGAAGCACGCAAAAUUACAUAAUUGGAUGAAAUUUUUGAGAUUAUUGCUGAAGAGACGGGAAUUCAAGGCUUGAUGAAGAUGGGUUUGGGGGCUGAGAUUUUGUGAAGGGAUUUCAGAG
rnacentral:lncRNA from 1 species